CGGUUGAAUAUAAAGUUUCACAUGAGGCAAUUGCACCGGCUUCGUAUGUGUAGCACCUGUUCAAAUUUUCCGAGAAUACUUCAAUUACGUUUCGCGAUCUCCUAGUCAGUCGGAAACAUCGAAUACAUUCACCGUCGCCGUACCUGAAAUUUUUAAACGAUAUAAAUUGUUUUAUUUUGAAUACCGAAUCAUCGAAGCAUCUCAUCAUCACCGACGAACCGCAUCGCAACUUAUAACUUUGCGGGAAGGAAUUCUUUCGUCCUCCCCAGGCAACAACUAACCAACCAACCAACAACCUGCACUCUUCCAACUACUAUACUUCUUUCCAGAGGCUAAAAUUCUUCGAGAAAAAAAAGGAUGAAGAAGGAGAAGAAGCAGUAAAAGAAGGCGAUGAAGAUGAAGAUGAAGAAGAAUUUUAUGUCACGGGUGACCAAACAUGAUCGACCAUGAUCCAUUCUAACAAACAAUAUAAUGAGAAACUGAUUCGGAAACUUCAAGUACAUCAUCAGGAUAGAAGAAGAAGAAAUCUCAGCAUCUCUACAGAAUAAAAUAAAAUAAAAUAAAAUGGUGGUUAAAAAAUGAGAGAAAGAGACGAUGAAAAAGUUAAGGAAGGAGAAAAAAAGGAGAUCACUAUAUGAUGCGUAUAUGCGUGCCUGAUGCACGCUGCACGCAAGUAUAAAUAUAUGAUGAUGAUGAUGCGAUGUAAAAAUUGAAGGAGACGUUCGUUCAUGUAUGAUCUUCGUAAACCUGAGCAGCAACCACCUCCGUCGUUCCCUGCUGCUGCGACGACGCAACUCCGGAUGAAAAAUCUGAAAACAGAAAGGAAAUGAAAAUCUUGUUAAAAUAUCUCUCCGCUCCAUUAUAGUAACUUGGAAUUGAUCAAAAUAUACGGAAUCUGUAGAACGAAAAACAGAAAAAAUACCGUCAAAAAAUGAAGAAAAAAAUAACAGUUAAGAGACGAAUAAUGUCAAUGCUGCACAUACUUCAAAGAUUAUUCCCUUUGCAUAUUCUUUAUUGUUAUACUGACACACGAGGUUUGUAUAUAUAUCUAUGUAUAUCGAGGUAUAUGGUGGAUAUAUAUACAAUGUAUGGUAUCCGUAGGCAUCACGUAACUAUGUGAAAGGUGUGGCAUGACAUAUACCUAUGUGGGAUUCAGUAAAGCAAGAUCCAAAGCAAGUUUAGUUCUCAGGAACCUGAGACCUCGUGUGUUUUACACAUACACAUGUACCUAUGCGUAUAUACUUACACGUGCUUUUACAAUACUAAUGCAAAUAAAUUUAUAGUAGGUAAAUAACAAACACACCGUGUAACAUACAAUUUUCUCUCAAAAUCAGUCGCGUUUUUGCAGAUUUUUUUGUGAAAUCGAAGAAGAUAAGAUAAGAUGAUGCGUGAUUCGCGGAUGGUUUUUUUUUUUUUUUUUUAAAAUGUAUGCGCGAAGCUAGAAGGGUGUGAACCAAGUUCUUCCAAAAAAUUUUCACGCGUAAUGCAAAUUUACUUUUUAACUUGAAUUAAUUCAAUUCACUAAUCAAAACGAAACUGGGAAAAGAAAGUGCGAUAGUUUCAUUGACAGCUGAGAUUCUAUGUUUUUUUUUUCUGUUUUUACCGAUGGAUGAAUGAAACGUGAUAAUCUGUAAAUUCCUUAUAGUGAAGUUGUAAAAUGUAAUGAGAAUCUGAAAGACGCGAGUCGUCGGGCCCGCGCGGUCUUCACUUUGCGAACUUGACUCGACCACAUAAACUCGUUUAAGAAACAGUUUCAAAGGGUUUCUUUUUACUCCGCAUUAUAAUUUCUCGGUUGUAUGUGACAUAUAGAUAUAUAAAGUGUCAUCACGUUCCUCCGCAAGUACAAGUGAUAAAAAAAGAGAAGAGAAAGAAAGGAAAAUAUAUGCAGAUAUACAUGUAUACCUUAUAUCGUACAUACAAUGCGGUCAAGAAUCAAUCGCGGUAUAAGUUAAACUGUAUUUAAUUACUUCCUGCCGCAGACGCUAAUACGGUGGCUUAAUAUUAUCGAAAGAAAGCAAAACAAAAGGUUUUUUUGAAAAUUAAUCUGCGUCAUUACGUACGUACGGACGUACGAUAAUUACCCUUACACAUAGGUACGUGACAGAUAAUUGUUUUGAGAAAUGAUCUUUUUGAAUUCAUUGGAAAAAAAAAAAGGAGAAGAGAAAAGGAAACAAAACUUUUCUGAAAAAAACGAAAAAGAGCAACGGAAACGCAUUAAAUAACUGUGCAUAUAUUAUACACACAAGAUAAGCUGUCUCCUAUCUUUCCAAGUUUGCUCACGUUAUUGUAUUAUACCAGAGCAAACAGCGAUUAUUCGUUUAUAAGACGAACUUAAAUUUGUUUCAUUUUUUACAAGUUUUCCGUUCACAGUAUUUUUACUAUAAACGAAAUGAAACGAAGAGUCAGAAUUUAAUUUUUCAUCAAUGAAAUGUUCAAUUGGCGAAUGCGAGUUUAAUUUUCUUUUCGGUUUCGUAUUCGAAAAAUUAUACAAGAACUGAGAGCGAAAAGCGUAAUAAAAAUUAUAGUACAAAUACCACGCGCAUUUAUCGUACCUCGUGGUUUAUCGUGUACGAAAAAUGAUGAAGGAAAUAUGAUACAGGAGAGAAGAAAGAAAAAGAAGAUUUAGAAAAAAAAAUUUAGGAAAUACGAAAAAAAAGAUAAAAGAGGAAAAGAAAAAAAUUAAAUAAAAUAAAAAACACAAAGGAAACCGGAUGAGCCGAUCCAAUGAGGCUCGACCGACCCUGCACGUUCAUAAAGUGCAUGCAAGUGCAGUGUUCAAUUCCUGCAGCAGCUAUGCAGCUUCAAGGACGAUCCAGAAAUUUUUUUUUCAAAAAUUGUCGCACAGAAAAAAGAAAGAAGAAGUUUAGCGAACUAUUGUAAACCAAUCGUAAGAUUAUGAGAAGUAAUAUCUGUGGUGGAAAGUUAAACUUCUUUUUCAUUUAAAUUCAAGUUUCCUUCCCAUAAUCUGAAUAAGUGUUUCAGUAGUGGAGCUAUUUUUCUAAAAAUAAUCGCCCCAUAUCCGGUGGUGCAGGCGUUAAAAAGGAGAAACGAAAAAAUGCAAAAGGAAAAAGAAAGAAAAAAAGAGAGAAAAUAAUAAUCACAAAGAAAGAACGAAAGAAGUUUGGAAGCAAUCUUCCUCGUACUCAAUCACCUUUUACUCUUUAAUCUUAAUUUUCUUUUCCUUUCUUUCUCGUUUUUAUUUUUUAUUUUUUGUUCUUCUUCAGAAUCUUUACCAUUAGGUAUACCUAUAUUGGUCUACACCACAAAAUUAGGUCCGAUUGAAAAAGCAAAUCGACUGCAACCGGCGUCGACUUUACUCUCGAAUAGAUUUUUUUCAAGUGUUCAACUAACACAGAAUCGUAUAUUCUAUAAAUAAUCUACUAUAAGUAGGUAUAUAUGUAAAAUAUAAAUAUGUAAUCCUUAAAAUACUGCAGACGAGCGAAUAUAAAAAGAACAUGCGCGUUUGCUUGUGACCUCACGACUGCAGUCAAACUUUAAAGAAUUUUUUCUCUCCUAUGAAACUUCAUCGCGCAAAAUAAAAAAAAAAAAACCAAUGACCAAAAAUAAACGAUAUUAAAAAAAUAAAAUAAAAAUCGAACAUAGGGUUAAUAUGUAGAAAAAUUAUACAUGCUUAACAACUGUCGCACAUAUCGAGUAAGUUUUCGUCAGCUGAACUCAAAAAUUUGAUACUUAUAUUCUACUUGCGUUUUAUAAAAGGUUUCACUUUUUUGUUGAUAACUUUUUUCUUCUUUACUUUACUUCAACUAUUGAUGUAAAACAAUAACGCGAGUUUACUGACACUGUAAUUAUUAUACUAUUUUAAACAACCGGUUUAUACCUUACAGUACAGUUCACAGUGUAUAGUCAGUUGCUCCGCAUAGUAUGUAAUAAACUACAUGUACCAUAGUUGUUGGUUUCUUGAUGUUCAUAAACUUGGAACACCGAGUCAAAUAAUAGUGAGAAGCAAGCAUCGUGUAACUACGUACCGUAACAGCACACAUUUCUAUCUAGAUACAGCUGAAUCGGUUUAAAAUUUAUUAUCUCGGAAGGAUUUUAUUUUUACAGCAACGAGUUUCAGUUACACGAAUAUUAUACCCAUAUCCGAAACAUAUACCGAAGAAAUACGUUCGAAAAUUGUCCUGCGAAAAAAGGACAAGGAUCUAUACAUUAUUUGCGAGUUGCAACGGGAGCAAAAACGCAACUCCAGGAAAACAGGAGCAGCAUCAGGACCGUGUAAUUCCUCUCUAUCGAUUACACGUCCUUUAGUCGGGAUAUAAAUUUCCUAUACCUAUCUGCCCAGGAUAGUUUUUGGAGGGGUUCUCUCUGGAUUGCUUUUCGAGUCAUAAGGAGGGGGAUGAUUUAGCGAUUCCCGAGGGAUCCCCUUCGCCCCUAUAUACGUUAUAUUGUAUAAGGUAUGUGUAUACAUGCAACAGUGCAUUGCAGAAAUAUACGCUACAGUUGCACGGAGAUUCCUGUGUACUCACGUUGCAAAAAAUACGUCAAAUGUAAAUUUUGCAAUUUCCCUCAUUGUUUUUUCAAAGACCUAGUUGUCUUUUUUUCAGUCUUGAAUUCUCGCAUAUGAAUCCGAUCCCUGCAGAAUUGUAACCCCAACGAUAUUGAAUAAUUCAAAAGGCAUUUAACGGAAUUACUUCUUUUUAUUUUUGAAAAUAAAAAAGUAUGGGCGAAAUAAUGCAUUAUUGAAGAUCGAAAAAUGAGGAGGAGAGAGGGAGAAAUCCGGGAGGACAAAAGCGGCAACGUCCGUUAAAAAAUUUUUAAGUAGACCUUUUUACAGAACGCGAGACCCCCUAGUCCGAAGGAGAGCCCUUAAAUUAAUCUCAAGGAUAAAUUCGUGAUUCAUAUUUUGCAUGGCUCAAGUAUUGGUGGGGGUAUAUGGGUAUUACGUGACGUGAGACGAGUCAUUUUUCGUUCUAAUCAAAACUAAUAAUCGGAAGAAAGAAAGAGAGAAAAAAAGGGGCGUUGAUAGCACGUAUGUGAAGGACGAUGUGAUGCAGCCGAUUACGUUAUAGAAAAUAUAUAAGAAAAGUACUUCCUGUAAUCAGAUACCCAUCAGACCCCACACGCUAUGCGACGAGACCCACGGGAUUAAAGAGCCGCCCAUUCUUCUCUCUUUUUUGAAAAAAAAUAAAUAAAUAAAUUUCCAAACUCUCCACACAUACGUUUCUAUUUCUCUCUCUCCUUUUAUCGGUUCUAAAGUUGAAAGAAGAAGAAAAUCGCAUUAUUAAAAGAAUUUAAACUCAUUCCCAUCGAAUUUUGCGGAUGAUUUUUGCAACGUACUUUCUCCUUACUUUUCUUUUUUUGUAAAAGAAUAAUUAAUGUGCACCGAUCAAGGAUUCGAAUGUGAGAAGGAUCAGACCAUCUCCUGCGGGAGCAGAUGAUGAAGAAAUAAAAAAGGGGGAAAAAAAUAUGGAAAAAUGAAAGAAAAAGAAAAAAAGAGAAUUUUUUCACCGUGGCACAUCUGUCCUUCCGGUGCAGUUCAUAUGCUGCUACUGCUCCUGCUGCAGCCCCGUAUU